rnacentral:rRNA from 1 species
UACGAAGGGGGCUAGCGGUGUUCGGAAUUACUGGGCGUAAAGCGCACGUAGGCGGACUGUCAAGUCAGGGGUGAAAUCCCGGGGCUCAACCUCGGAACUGCCUUUGAUACUGUCAGUCUAGAGUCCGGAAGAGGUGGGUGGAAUUCCUAGUGUAGAGGUGAAAUUCGCAGAUAUUAGGAAGAACACCGGUGGCGAAGGCGGCCCACUGGUCCGGUACUGACGCUGAGGUGCGAAAGCGUGGGGAGCAAACAGG